rnacentral:rRNA from 1 species
CAGUAGCCGCGGUAAUACGUAGGUGGCAAGCGUUGUCCGGAAUUAUUGGGCGUAAAGGGCUCGCAGGCGGUUUCUUAAGUCUGAUGUGAAAGCCCCCGGCUCAACCGGGGAGGGUCAUUGGAAACUGGGAAACUUGAGUGCAGAAGAGGAGAGUGGAAUUCCACGUGUAGCGGUGAAAUGCGUAAAGAUGUGGAGGAACACCAGUGGCGAAGGCGACUCUCUGGUCUGUAACUGACGCUGAGGAGCGAAAGCGUGGGGAGCGAACAGGAUUAGAUACCCCCGUAGUCCCUGUCUCUUAUAC